GAAAGAAAAAAAAAAAACUGUUAUAAUCUCUUAUGCUUUUGGAGAAAGGGGAAGAUUGUUCAUACAACUGCUGGAAAUAAGAUCGUAACAGGAGGAUUUUCCAAAACCAAAUUGAUCAUCUGGAAGCUCUUCUUGAAAGGGUUAAACUUCGAACGUUUUGGUGGUUGAAAGCUAACUACAUCACGUUCGCUUUCGAUUAUCCCUUUUGGACACAAAAUCCCUUAUGUUGUUUACAGACUGCUUGUAAAUUCUGUUUUGGUUUUUGAUUUAUGGCUGUUUUAGCCUUACUGUAAUGUAAUUAACUCUUUUCAGCUCCCUUUGACACACCUUGUGCUUGAGGGACUGAUUAUCUCUUUAAUAUAUUUCUCUUAGUUUCUUCAACAACAAAAAAAAUUGAGGAGAGAAAAUUAUUAUUAAUUAAAAUGUAAUGAACAUUCUACUGCUGUCUCAAUCUCUAAAGGUUACAAGGUCAAACUUUUGUUGGUAGAAUAGUCGGUUUUGUUCAAGUUUUGUAAUAUUUAUGACGAAAUCUAAACCAAAUCGAUGAUCACAUGUUGGUUUGGUCUGAUUCAAUAGGAUUUACAUUUUUAUUAAUUAAAAUAUCAUGCCAGAUACUUAUAUUAAUAUUUAACUAUCGUAAACAAAAAAUAAUCCAAUAA
rnacentral:lncRNA from 1 species